UACGUAGGGAGCAAGCGUUGUCCGGAAUCAUUGGGCGUAAAGCGCGCGUAGGUGGCCCCGUAAGUCCGCUGUGAAAGUCAAAGGCUCAACCUUUGAAAGCCGGUGGAUACUGUGGGACUAGAGUACGGAAGAGGCGAGUGGAAUUCCUGGUGGUAGCGGUGGAAUGCGCAGAUAUCAGGAGGAACACCCAAUAGCGAAGGCAGCUCG
rnacentral:rRNA from 1 species